rnacentral:rRNA from 1 species
GACGGAGGAUGCAAGUGUUAUCCGGAAUCACUGGGCGUAAAGCGUCUGUAGGUGGUUUAAUAAGUCAACUGUUAAAUCUUGAGGCUCAACUUCAAAAUCGCAGUCGAAACUAUUAGACUAGAGUAUAGUAGGGGUAAAGGGAAUUUCCAGUGGAGCGGUGAAAUGCGUAGAGAUUGGAAAGAACACCAAUGGCGAAAGCACUUUACUGGGCUAUCACUGACACUGAGAGACGAAAGCUAGGGUAGCAAAUGGG